rnacentral:rRNA from 1 species
AGUACGGCGAGUGAGAGGAAGAGCUCAAAGUUGGAACCUGUUUGGCCUAGCUAAACCNNNNNNNNNNNNAGAAGUGUUUUCCAGGCAAGCCGAGUAAAUAAGUCCUUUGGAACAGGGCAUCAUAGAGGGUGAGAAUCCCGUCUUUGGCUUGAGCAUUUGCCUUUUGUGAUACGCUUUCAAAGAGUCAGGUUGUUUGGGAAUGCAGCCUAAAUUGGGUGGUAAAUCUCACCUAAAGCUAAAUAUUGGCGAGAAACCGAUAGCGAACAAGUACCGUGAGGGAAAGAUGAAAAGAACUUUGAAAAGAGAGUUAAACAGUAUGUGAAAUUGUUAAAAGGGAACCGUUUGGAGCCAGACUGGCUUGUCUGUAAUCAAUCUAGGCUUCGGCCUGGAUGCACUUGCAGGCUAUGCCUGCCAACGACAAUUUGACUUGAGGGAAAAAACUAGGGGAAAUGUGGCCCACUUGUGGGUGUUAUAGUCCCUUAGAAAAUACCUUGGGUUGGAUUGAGGAACGCAGCGAAUGCUUAUUGGCGAGUUUUCCAGGAAGGUUUUCUGAGGUACUACGGUAUCAAGGUUGAUCUUUUUGGUUAUNCUUCUAUUCGCUU